CGUUCUGUUUUUGAUAAGUCGCUUCGAGCGCCGUGGAAUCUGAAAAAGGAAGUAAAACAUUUCAUUAUUUUAUGCGGUAACCAGAGAAAACGCAGGUUGGUUGUUGUUGACAACUUGAGAUUUCCAACUACAAGGUAAAGCUUUUGAACGUCAGCAGUCUGUGAAGGAACAAACUGCGAGGAGAGAAACAAAUACAAAGAGUUCACUCUCCAGCUGUACCGAGGAGAGUAUUUUCAUAGGUCGCACGUGCUUCCUGGUCUGUUGGGCUCGAGGGAGACUUAAAGCCCGCGUGUCACUCGCACAUUGCACAGACCAAACAGACAGACAGAAAUGGAUCAUGCGCGACCACAGGACUCACAUCAAAGCAAGGAUGAGAAGAGGCAGAUCACAGGAGUGCAAAGUCCGUCCAGACUGAGGGAAUGGAUAUCUAAUUCUUACAAGUCGAAGUCUGUGGGGGGGCGAUUCUCCAGACCUCGCGAUGACCACUCCUUCCACAAACCUGGCUUCGGCGGCCAGAGGUACCACCACUUCCACCCCGCGGCUUACUUCCACCAGAGAGGUCAUUUCCAGCCUAACCUUCACCACAUCGCACUGAGGAGGAGGGAAGGAGAGCAGGAGCGGUACGAGCACAGAGAGAGCGCUGACGGGAGUUCACUUCCAAAACAGAACACUGCUAGAGCUUUCUUACCAAGGUCCACCUCCAGCAGAGACAAGGACAUGCAGUUCAUCGUGUGUCAGAGCGACAGGAAGCAAAGCAAUAAGAGAGAUCACAGGGGCACCAAAAGCAAAGAGAGAGAACAAAGCAGAGACGGGGAGCUCCCUUCUACUGCGAGCCAGACGGUGGCACUAGAUACGGCCAUCCAGCAGAAGAGGAGAGAGAUGUAUGAGGUAGAGGAGUGUCAUUACAGGGGGAGCAAAAGCAUAGAAAGAGAACGAAACCGAGACGACGAGCUCCCUUCGGCUGAGAGCCAGACGGAGGCACGAGACAGAGCCAUCCAGCAGAAGAGGAGAGAGAUAGAUGAGGUAGAGGAGUGUCAUUACACAAACACACUCGCACCUUGGCAGAGGGGUUAGAUAUAAACAGACAGAGGAGGAGGAGGAGUAGGAGGAGAGAUAAGAGAAGCUGGGAUUAGAGGGAGAGUGACAGUGGAAAGAUCCUGGAAAGCGCUGGGAGACAUGAGACAAGAAAAGAUUUGUUUUCUGUAGACUAAACAUUAAUUUUGAAAUGCUGAGCCUGAGGCGACUUGAGUGUCAUUAUUGUCUUCAGUUUGCAGAACCUGACAAAGAAGGUCUUAUUCAUCGCUUGUUGAAGUUGAUGGUGUUUUAGUAGUUUUCUAAUUGAGCAAAAAAUUGAGGCUGUUGUAAGCCAGGAGACUCCAACACAUACUUUAAUGCUGUCUUUAAUGUGACAGACGUCACAUGAGGCUCUGCUCAUCGGCUGUUUGUGUGUGUUUGUGUGUGUUUGUGUGUGUGUGUGUGUGUGUGUGUUUGUGUUUGUGUGUGUGUGCGUGUGUGUUUCCACCCACUUGUCAGAAAAGAUGGCCACUUGCUUUUCAUAUCUCCAUGGUUGCAGGAUUAUAGAGACAUUGCAAGAAAAGGCAGUCUGGCAACAGGUGUACUAUCAGGAAAGUGAAAUGUUUGGCCUGGUGGCAAAG